GACGAACGCUGGCGGCGUGCCUAAUACAUGCAAGUUGAGCGCUGAAGGUUGGUACUUGUACCGACUGGAUUAGCAGCGAACGGGUGAGUAACGCGUGGGGAAUCUGCCUUUGAGCGGGGGACAACAUUUGGAAACGAAUGCUAAUACCGCAUAAAAUCUUUAAACACAAGUUUCAAGUUUGAAAGAUGCAAUUGCAUCACCCAAAGAUGAUCCCGCGUUGUAUUAGCUAGUUGGUGAGGUAAAGGCUCACCAAGGCGAUGAUACAUAGCCGACCUGAGAGGGUGAUCGGCCAACUUGGGACUGGGACACCGCCCAAGCUCCUAAGGGGGGCAGCAGUAGGGAAUCUUCGGCAAUGGACGAAAGUCUGACCGAGCAACGCCGCGUGAGUGAAGAAGGGUUUCGGAUCGUAAAACUCUGUUGGUAGGGAAGAACGUUGGUGAGAGUGGAAAGCUCAUCAAGUGACGGUAACUACCCAGAAAGGGACGGCUAACUACGUG
rnacentral:rRNA from 1 species